rnacentral:rRNA from 1 species
UACGGGGGGGGCAAGCGUUGUUCGGAAUUACUGGGCGUAAAGGGCUCGUAGGUGGCCAACUAAGUCAGACGUGAAAUCCCCAGGCUCAACUUGGGAACUGCGUCUGAUACUGGAUGGCUUGAAUCCGGGAGAGGGAUGCAGAAUUCCAGGCGUAGCGGUGAAAUGCGUAGAUAUCUGGAGGAAUACCGGUGGCGAAGGCGGCAUCCUGGACCGGGAUUGACACUGAGGAGCGAAAGCUAGGGGAGCAAACGGG